rnacentral:rRNA from 1 species
UAAUACGGAGGGUGCAAGCGUUAUCCGGAUUUAUUGGGUUUAAAGGGUCCGUAGGCGGACUUAUAAGUCAGUGGUGAAAGCCUGUCGCUUAACGAUAGAACUGCCAUUGAUACUGUAAGUCUUGAGUAUAUUUGAGGUAGCUGGAAUAAGUAGUGUAGCGGUGAAAUGCAUAGAUAUUACUUAGAACACCAAUUGCGAAGGCAGGUUACCAAGAUAUAACUGACGCUGAGGGGCGAAAGCGUGGGGAGCGAACAGGAUUAGAUACCCUGGUAGUCCACGCCGUAAACGAUGCUAACUCGUUUUUGGGCUUUAGGGUUCAGAGACCAAGCGAAAGUGAUAAGUUAGCCACCUGGGGAGUACGCUCGCAAGAGUG